AAUUCUGUAAUAAAAUAUUUAUUAUUGCAACUAUAUUCUUUACUCAUAUUCUGACCUGAUCUCACUUGACCCACUUCCUACAGUUUUAUGAGCAACACAAAUGACCUUAGUUAAACUUGAUACUACCUAAAACUACAAAAGAAAAUCACGUAGCCAACGUAGUUAAAUUGUGUCCCCAUGCUUAAUAGCAAAGGUAGAGCAGGGGUCUGCACACAUCUUUAGUCCAUGCUCUCUCAGCCUCUUAAACUCCUACACCAUUUUAGCUUAUUAGGAAGAACUGAUUGAGCAUUGCUGUAGUUUCCUAUCUGAUGGACUCUGUUAGAAGAGAACUUAUCUUAAACUGUAUUUUUAAGGGUCUUUUUAAGUCAUUCUCAAUUCCUAGGCAGCAUUCAAAGCCCAUUUUUAGGAUGUUGGUAUGAAUGUGCUUGAGAAAGGUAAGAAGGUGCUCCACUUGGUGAUCACUCUUUCCCUUUUGACAGCAGUUGUUUUAGUGGAAGAAUUACCUGCCCUGUAGUUCCACUGCAGCAGCCUUGUCCGAAUGCUGAUACACCAGUUCUUCAGGCUAGCAAAGUAAAACACCCUGAUAUUAAAAGCAUAAUCUCUAACUAUACAACACUGUAACUUAAUUCAGGUAUUACUAUCUUGACAGUUAAUGAACAGUUGACAAUUAAACCAAAAUAAUCUAUACUGUAGCAAAGACAUAAUAAAAACAUUAGGUAGAUAUUUGUGUGUAAUGUGUUUUCAUUUUUUUCAUGAGUAAGCUUCAACUACUUCUUACAAAUUCCAUUAAUUGUAGAGGAAUUUCUGCUUGUUUAUUAAGUGCACAUACACAUUAUUGAAAUAAUACCUUUCUGGCUGUAAGACAAAAGUUCUCCUCUUUCUUUCUUUAGGGUUGUGUACCAGAUUUGGCCCAGUGUUUAGCGUUGUCCUGAGCUCUUAUACAGGGCUGUCCAACUUCUGCAUUCUCACACCAAGAGGGGAGCGGUGCUGAUCUGUAACAUUUUGUGCCUGCAGGUAGCAGUUUCAGAUUUUGCAGUAGCACUAACUACGCUGAUGCUGUUAGAAUAUUAAGCUGACAAACGCAUGAUACAGAAAAGAAAAAUGUCUCAUGCCCAACUGCAUGGCGUGCAGCAAUGGGAGAAGACACGGAGCUCACUUACGUUAUCGCAGCUGAUCAGACAGUACACGUUUUGCAAGGGGCAGAAAGUAUCAUAGUGCCUGUAAA